rnacentral:rRNA from 1 species
ACGUCGAGGAGACCUGCCUUCCCAGAGGGGGACAACAGUUGGAAACGACUGCUAAUACCGCAUGACACAUGACCGUGGCAUCACGGACAUGUCAAAGAUUUAUCGCUGGAAGAUGGCCUCGCGUCUGAUUAGCUAGUAGGCGGGGUAACGGCCCACCUAGGCGACGAUCAGUAGCCGGACUGAGAGGUUGACCGGCCACAUUGGGACUGAGAUACGGCCCAGACUCCUACGGGAGGCAGCAG